GGAUCAGCCCGCUCCCGGUAAAACGGGACGGCCCGCCAGAGGACCCCUAAACUCUGUUUCUAUAUGUAACUUCUGAGUAAAACCAUAAAUAAAUCAAAACUUUCAACAACGGAUCUCUUGGUUCUGGCAUCGAUGAAGAACGCAGCAAAAUGCGAUAAGUAAUGUGAAUUGCAGAAUUCAGUGAAUCAUCGAAUCUUUGAACGCACAUUGCGCCCGCCAGUAUUCUGGCGGGCAUGCCUGUUCGAGCGUCAUUUCAACCCUCAAGCACAGCUUGGUGUUGGGACUCGCGUUAAUUCGCGUUCCUCAAAUUGAUUGGCGGUCACGUCGAGCUUCCAUAGCGUAGUAGUAAAACCCUCGUUACUGGUAAUCGUCGCGGCCACGCCGUUAAACCCCAACUUCUGAAUGUUGACCUCGGAUCAGGUAGGAAUACCCGCUGAACUUAA
rnacentral:rRNA from 1 species